rnacentral:SRP_RNA from 17 species
UCUCGCCGCCCAUCCGCCUGGACGAGUGCCUCCCGGCCAAGCAUGUUGCAUCUUGCACAUGGACUUCUCUGAACGAUGAGAAAGGCGAAGUGCGGCAGGCUGAGUGACAAAGAGCGGGGAAGCGCUGGCGCAUGCUGUCAGCAGGAAGAAU